rnacentral:tRNA from 1 species
GAGGGUAUAGUUCAGUGGUAGAGUGCCUGCCUAGCAUACACAGGGUCCUGGGUUCAAUCCCCUGUACCCUCC